rnacentral:lncRNA from 1 species
AGCGGGAUUUUAUCAUACAAACAGGAGAUCCCACAGGGACUGGCCGUGGAGGAGAGUCUAUAUUUGGUUUCUUAUUACUACAGGAGAAAAUUUAGAUUACCUUGAUGGUGUUCAUACAGUAUUUGGUGAAGUGACAGAAGGCAUGGACAUAGUUAAGAAAAUCAAUGAGACCUUUGUCGACAAGGAUUUUGUACCAUAUCAAGAUAUCAGGAUAAAUCAUACAGUGAUUUUAGAUGACCCCUUUGAUGACCCUCCUGAUUUAUUAAUUCCUGAUCGAUCACCAGAACCUACGAAGGAGCAAUUAGAUAGUGGUCGAAUAGGAGCAGAUGAAGAAAUUGAUGACUUCAAAGGAAGAUCAGCUGAAGAAGUAGAAGAAAUAAAGGCAGAAAAAGAGGCUAAAACUCAAGCUAUUCUUUUAGAGAUGGUGGGAGACCUGCCUGACGCAGAUAUUAAACCCCCGGAGAAUGUGCUGUUUGUGUGUAAACUGAAUCCAGUGACCACAGACGAGGACUUGGAGAUCAUAUUCUCAAGAUUUGGGCCAAUAAGAAGUUGUGAAGUUAUCCGAGAUUGGAAAACAGGAGAGUCCCUCUGUUAUGCUUUUAUUGAAUUUGAAAAGGAAGAAGACUGUGAGAAAGCAUUCUUCAAGAUGGAUAAUGUGCUUAUAGAUGACAGGAGAAUCCACGUGGAUUUCAGCCAGUCUGUUGCAAAGGUUAAAUGGAAAGGAAAAGGUGGGAAAUAUACCAAGAGUGAUUUCAAGGAGUAUGAAAAGGAACAGGAUAAACCAGCCAAUUUGGUUCUAAAAGAAAAAGUAAAGCCCAAGCAAGAUGCAAAAUAUGAUCUAAUACUAGAUGAACAGGCAGAAGACUCAAAAUCAAGUCACUCACACACAAGUAAAAAACACAAAAAGAAAACCCGUCACUGCUCUGAAGAAAAAGAAGAUGAAGAUUACAUGCCAAUCAAAAAUCCUAAUCAGGAUAUCUACAGGGAAAUGGGAUUUGGCCAUUAUGAAGAAGAAGAAAGCUGUUGGGAGAAACAGAAGAAUGAAAAGAGAGACCGGCGUCAGAACCGCAGUCGUAGCCGAUCUCGAGAAAGGGAUGGCCACUAUAGCAACAGCCACAAACCCAAGUACCAG